GAUGAACGCUGACAGAAUGCUUAACACAUGCAAGUCUUUGGCGAAGCUGUGCUUGCACAGCCUAGCCAAGGCGGACGGGUGAGUAACGCGUAAGGAACUUGCCCUGCAGUCAGGGUUAACAGACGGAAACGACUGAUAAGACCUGGUAAAGUCAGGCGGACUCAUGUCCAGCCUGAUGAAAAGAGAUGCUGCAGGAGAGCCUUGCGUCCUAUUAGCUUGUUGGUGGGGUAACGGCCCACCAAGGCGAUGAUAGGUAGCCGGCCUGAGAGGGUGGACGGCCACAAGGGGACUGAGAUACGGCCCUUACUCCUACGGGAGGCAGCAGUGGGGAAUAUUGGACAAUGGGGGCAACCCUGAUCCAGCAAUUCUGUGUGAACGAUGAAGGUUUUCGGAUUGUAAAGUGCUUUCAGCAGGGAAGAAAAAAAUGACGGUACCUGCAGAAGAAGCGACGGCUAAAUACGUG
rnacentral:rRNA from 1 species